rnacentral:lncRNA from 1 species
CCUUUCUUUCUAACUUCCUUUCCUUUUUAAUUAGCAGAAUUAUCUUGAAUAUCUGUAUUUACAAAGAAAGAAGGACAUCCACUGAAUCAGCCCAUCUUUACUUUUUACACAUAAAAAGAAGUGUUAAGAAUUGUCCUUUGAGAGUCUGA